UCCAUACUCUCAUUUACCAGUGAGAGGAAGGUGUUGCCACAUCAACUUGUCCCCUGUGGCAGUGAUAAACCCUGGCACUAAGAGCACAUGCAUGCUAUCCACAGCUGAGCUGAAAGAGUCUUAUCAAAGUCAGGUGUCCCCGGCUGUCCCUGAGCGGUUCCCAGCCCU
rnacentral:lncRNA from 1 species